UCCUCUUAAAACUGAAUGAAUAUUCAAAUUCGGAUGCCUUGUUGCUGAUGAGAAUUGCACUCAUUGGCUUGUUCCGAAUGAUUGCAUAAAUUUGGGAAGUGCAACAGAGAGUUACAUAAGGCAGAGAACGACUAACCGCGAGUGACGACAAUGUGAUCACCGAGUCGUCUGUAGCAAAGUGUGGAGAACAAGAGAGUGGACUAUGAAACGGCGCAGCGCAAAACCUUAAGGUGGAACAGCUUUGUGCACUAGCAAAAAGUUUAAAAUAAUAAGAUCGACUGAAGUUUAGUACCUUUGAAACCGUGAGUAAGGACACAAGUCCGUCAUUGUGACAGCCAUGCUUGGAUUCCGACAUGGUUAACCUUAAGUGAAGCGUGUCUUUCGGAAGCCGGUGCGUUUUUCGGUAGAUGUGGAUGUUAUCGUGGCUUAUCAUAAUCGGCGCGAAACGAUAGAACUCGGUUGACUGUAUUUAAAAGGCGUGCAGGUGUUGUGAGAUUGUGUGAAGAGCAAAUUGGGCGUACCACCACAGAUUGACAAGCCAACGGUGAAACGAAUACUGCAUGGAAUUUGACAUCGACGGACAUAGUGCACCGAAAAGGUCAAUUGAUUCGAUUAGAUUUGGUUAGAUGGAGUGAGGUUGAAUAUAUCUCGAUGCUAAUGGCUGGUUGUCUAAUAUUUUGAUAUGUAAAAUACUUUCAUUGCUGGAGGACCUUGUCGAACAGUUCCAUGAGCGUUGCCAGAUUUUCAAUGAGGAGGGGGGCAAUUUUGAGCGACUUCAAAAAUCCAUUCUCGAAAAUCAUUUUACACAAUCUCUGCACAAUUUUGUAUGGAACGUUAAUGUAAGACAAUCACUAAGGUGACCCAUACUGAUCAAACUACAAAAAUCUUAAGUAACACCCCCCAGAUUUGUUUGAUUCCUCAGAAGCACUGUGCAAAUUUGAGCGGAAUCUCAACUUAAGCGGGGUCGGGGUGGUGGCUAAGCGAGAUGACGCUGUUGUCGAUGAAUGUCUUUCAUUGUUAACUUGAAGAUUCUCCAAGCAAUGGAGGAGAAACGAUAAAUACCGGAAAUAUUUUCGUUUGAGGUGAAGAUGAAUCGAAGCCAAAGUUCAAAUUUUCAAGAGCACGGAUCUGGAGAACCAA